rnacentral:lncRNA from 1 species
AAGUGACAGAGAUCAAUCCACCUUUGACGAGUUCUAUUCAGAAAUGCCUUGGUUAGCCCUUCCAUUUGGUGAUGGAAGGAAACAAAUCCUGAGUCGGAAAUUCAAAAUUCAAGGCAUUCCUGCAGCUGUAGCGAUUGGCCCAAGUGGCCGGACCAUUACCAAGGAAGCUCGGAUGCACCUGACAGCUUACGGGGCAGAUGCUUUUCCAUUUACCGAGGAACAUCUAAAGCGAUUGGAGGAGGAGCUUGAGGAAAAGGCAAAGGGGUGGCCAGAGAAAGUGAAACACGAACUUCAUACUGAGCAUGAGCUGAUACGUACUAAACGCAGUGCAUAUGGUUGCGAUGGCUGUGGGGAAACGGGAUAUCGGUGGUCUUUCUAUUGCAAUCAAUGUGACUUUGAUCUUCACCCCAAGUGUGCUCUGAAGGAAGAUGAAGAUGCUGGAACUGAAAAGGGAAAGGAAGGAUGGGUCUGCGAUGGAGAUGUGUGCCGCAGAGCUUAAGCAGGCAAGCGCUGCUUGUGUCUGGUUUUAUGGGCUUUCUGCUGUAUUAAGUAUGCAAUGGAAGAUGUUUGUUGCAUGUGUGUGAAUAUAGUGGGGAUGUCUCUCCUGUUAUCGUUAUGUAUCUAAGAUGUGUGAAGCUGAAGGGUUUUCAUGUCCUGUAUUUGGAUACUAAAAAUAAAUAAACAGCUCUGUGUGUUUAUGCGAAUCCUGUGACCCAUUUGGAACUUGGGAAAAUCCAUGGUUGAUGGUUGUUCUCAAAGCUCAAUCACUUGUUAUGAGGUUUUUGUCAUUCCUAAACGAAAAUGCUGUGCAUGAUGCCAUUGUGCCGCUCUCUUUGUUUCUAUUUGGCUGGGUGAAGAAACAGCCUCACCUCUGGAGCAAAUAUUCCUGUUAUUGUAUUGCUGAUUAAAUACAAAAACUGGGCUGAUUGUGACUUAACCAACAUUAUACAAUGAAACCAUUGUAACUCCACCGUAAAAGAAACAAGAAUUUCCAAUCCAAGCAACUGGAUAGUCAUUUCCCCCCCUCGUUGCCUUCUCACAUUACUUGUUGAGACGGAUUUCAGAAUCAAGAAAGCAGCAUUAAUUCGAACUCAGAACUAAGAAAGACAAAUGAAAUCCCAGCAGGUGGAAACUGGGUUCAUGGCAGUUAUUUGGAGGGUGGACACCUGCGUUUGUUGAUGAACAUGUCUGCAAUCAAUGAAAACCAGAACCACGGGCAGGCUAUUGCCUGUAUCAGUUCAUGGGACGCAAAGGACAGAUAGGAUUAGUGGUGAGCUUGGAGAAGUUAGCAAAGCCAACAACUACACCUCGCAGAACAGGAAAAGAUUUCCGUAAAUUUAAUGCUUUUCUACAAGAAUGUUUGGUUGCCUAUUUUUAAAAAAAAAAAAUUAUAUAAAUAACUUCUGGGUUGGCAUAGACACCUCAGGUUUUGGCACAGCUGCAAAAAACAAGUUGGAACUCUUACAUCCCUAUUGGUAGGUGAUGGAUUAUAAAUAAGGUUUAGUUUUGGUACUUUGACAUCCCUCGUGGACAAAACGAUUCUGAAUGGUUGAUAAUUUGGAAUGAAAGAUUUUCAGUACAAUUAUCAACACUCAACAAACUAGUAAUACCCUAUUAAUUCAUAACUAACUUGGAAAAAAAAAUUAAAUAUAAAAUUAUUGGAUCAAUCUGUAUAUUUUUUAUAUUAAAACAAUAACGUUUUAUUUUAUUUUUAUUUAAUCUUUACAGGAUAAUCACUCAGUUGAUUUAACCAUGUUAUUAAAAGAAUUUAAUUAAUAUAUUAUUUGAUUUAAUUAAAAUCUCAAAAAUUAUUAUACUUGAUAUCUUAAGUUUUUGAGACCAAUGAUUUCUACAUAGUGGUACAAUUAGCAUACUCUGCUCAUUGCAUUACAACAACAUUUUAAAAAUAAAAUGUUAAAAUUAAGAAUAAUUAAUUUUGAAAUUUUAUGUGAACAAUAAUUGUGUGGGGGUGUCAAUAGCAUCAUAUUUGUUUCCUGAAGUAAAUUAUAAUUGAAUCCUCAUAUUUUCCAUAAACCAAUAUGUUAGCCCUUCUGUUUUUUAAAAAACUAAAAGGCUACUCAAUUGAGAAGCUUCGACCGUCAAGCCGUUAUUAGAUAUUCUUUUAUACUAAUACCUAAAGUAACGGUUUAGCACUUUUAUAAUGUAAAACUAAAGGAAGAACUAAGGAGGUAAAAUAUGGCUUCUUUUAAAUAAAGGGAGUGAGCUAUUAAUUUCUUAAAACUAUAGGGACUACGUUAUAAUUUGAUCAAUUUGUUAUGAUGAAUUUAAAGUGCCACACGUGAUUUUUUUUUUUAAUUAAUGUGGGUGUCCGGACCAGCUUGCGCACACCUUAACUAAUCCAACGGGUCCUGAAAUUAACGACCAUGUAAGCCUACAGUUAUCAUCAUAUGAGCAACUACAGGGCUCCUGAGAUCACAAAGGGAAUAAACCUUUUAGUCCCAAGCUCUUAUAACUAGGACACUUUCUAGAUGGUUGUCACACGUUAUUUAAUUCUACAUGGUUUGGUUUUGUGUUUGCCAAUUAAUGAUCAUCAUGUUUCAUGAUGUGACAAAUAGAUUAAAAAUAUGAUGAAUGGAGCCAAACAUUAUUGGUUUUAAAUUUAAAAUUUUUUUAGUGUGUUUGAAUUUUUUUAAUAUAUUAAAUUUAAAAAUAAAUUUUUAAAAAUUAAUAUAUAUAUUUGAGUAAAAAUUAUUUUAAAACUCAACCUCUAUUAUAUUUUUAAACAUACCCUAUCAUUAGUAGUUGAGUCUUACCCUUAAUGUUUUCCAUGGAAUCUAUUAUUAUAGUCUUACAGCGUAUGUGCAAAGAUAAGGAAUAUCAUGAUAGGCAGUAAAAAAAAAAAAAAAAAAACUCUUACUAAUAUUAUAAAAACUAUGUUAUAAUUUUAUCUGAAAAUAAAAUAAAAAUUAAAUGAUAUCUAAUAAAAUAAUAUCUCAUAUAUAUUCUUAAUAACUUAAGUAUCUACUAAAAUAACAGCCUUGAUGUGUUUUUAAAUAAUUAAUUUUAACGAAAUAAAACUAAAACUCAAGGAUAAAAAUUCAAAAAUAAAAAUUCAAAUAAAAUAAAAACAAGCCAUGUUUGUGGGGCCAGGUGACUCCGCAUGCUUAUCCAAAAUGAAAGAGCCAUUUUAUUUUUUCUUUGAUAAAUGACAUAUCAUUUAUCCUUUUGAUUUUUAAAGUAAAACAAAUGACACAUGAUUGGUUACUCAAUUUUUUUUUGUCAUGGAGAAGUGGUUGAAGAAUUGGGUUAGAGUUUUUUUUUUUAUCUAAAAUUAUAUAUUUUUUAAUUUGUUUUUAUCUAUUGUCUCUAAACUAGUCCAUCAUCUAAAAAAAAAACCCUAAAAUAAUUUUAAAAUACAAAGUUUAACCUAAAAGCAAUUCUCUCAACCUCGAUUUAUCUUUUUUUGGCAAUAUAAAGCUAAAAACACAUUAUGGUAGCAUUCUUCUUGUCAAGAAGAAUACAUUGACACACAUUUUAGCUAUUUUUGCAAACAAAACCUUGUCAAUGUAUGUAUUUCUUCUCCUUUGUUAUUUUCAAUGAAUGUUUUUUUUUUUCUAAAACUCAAAACUAAAAUGUGAUUAAAAUAAAGUUUUAGAUCAAAACAUAAAUUUUUAAAGUAAAAUAGCGUGAAAUGAACAUUUCUCAAAUAAAAAAACCAUAAAUUCUUGCUACUUGUUAAUUUUGGCUCCCCAAGUCCUUAAUUUUUAUAUACAAUAAAAUAGGAUUCUAUUUUGUAAAAUCAAACAUAACUCUAAUGUAAAGACAUUUAAUUUUCCAAAAAAAAAAUUAUAGAAAACCAACCAAUAAGUCAAAUCCUCCAUUAAUAAAAUGUCAAAAAUUGAAAAAAUUUAAAAAGUGUUUGGUGACUAUAAUGAAAAAAAUUUCGAAGAAAAAACUAGAACACUAUUUUAAUCUGUGAUGUUUUGAGUUUUUGUCCACAGUGCAACAACACUAAACUAACCACAUCUCUUAGUUUUAUAUUUAAUUUAUUUUUAGAUUUUUAUGAUUCAUAAAUGAGGGAUUAUUUUAUUUUGUUAGCUUAGGUUUUAUUUUUAUAAAAUUAAUUAAAAAAUAGAUUAGGAUAUCUAGUGGAUAACCACAAAUGAAGAAAGUCAUCUACUUAACCGGAUUUAGAGCUCGUUUGUUUCUGAGACAACAUUUACAUUUCUUUUAAACACACUAAUAAUGGUGUUUGAUUACCGAUUGAAAGUAAUACAUAAAUUAUAGACCCCAUCAUUUAUAUGAGGCAGCACCUUAAUUAUAAAAAAUAUUUUUUUUUAUUGAACUUUCUUACAUGAUAGAGUAUUGCAUUUAAAAACUCUUUCUUUCUCCCCUCAAAAUAUAGGGUCUCUUUAUUGAAAUAGAGUCAUGAUGUGGCUCAAAUACACAAUAUAAAUUUAUUUAUAAUUAUUAAAUAUAUGCAAUAUCAUUAUUUUUAAAAUAAAAAAGAAAUCCAGAGUUUUAUUAUUGAAAAACUCCAUUCUUGAAAAUAUAACUAAAAAUUCUAUCAAAGUUUAGAUUUUAACUUGUCUAUUAAAUUGUAUGUAAUUAUUAUCAAGUCAUAUUUUAUAGAAAAUAAACUAGGCUAAAAAUCUAAUCCAAAAUUCUCUCGAUGUCUUUGAGAAUUUAAUUAGCAUAUGAAUUUUAUUGAGGUCUGUGUUAAAUGUUUUUUUUUUUUUCUGAGACUUAAGGAGCUUUGGAUGACUGGAGCUGGAGGUACAUUUUCAUGAUUUAUUUUUCUCAAUAAUUUUUUUUUACAGUCUUGGCCUUCAUCCUUUCCUAAGCUUCCUAUGUAAGAUGCCACGUAUAUAGUUUCUUUGCUCGUUCAUUUCAACUAUGCUUUACAUAUGAUGAUUGAUUUAUAUUAGAAAAAAAAAAUGAUAGAAAAAUUCAUUUCCAAAUGCAGCAAAACCAAAAGAGAAUAAUUUUCUAAUUAAAAAAACUAAUUAAGGAUUUUUUGUAUCAAGAAAUAUAAAGAUUUUAUUAAAGAGAUAAAAAUAAAAAAUAUAUUUAAUAACAAACUCACAAAAAAAUUAUCAAACCAUGGAUAAAACUAAAAAAAAAGGAGAUUAAUAAAAAAAACAUGUUUAAAAAAGAAGAAGCAAGAGGAGAUUUAUAGAAGCAGGUGAUCAUGCGAAUGCCACUUCAUCGGGCCUACGUCAUAAUGUCUUCGUCAUCACCCGUCACCAGCCACGCCUUGAAGCGUCGUUGUCUGAUUAGAAUAAUAAUUUCCUAGGUCGGUCGUGCAGGUAAUUUAAAGGAGCCUUAGCCUGGAAGUUCUAUCACAUAGCAACUGGGAUUGGCAAUUGUUCUAGCCUUUUGAGUAGUUCAUCACAUAGCUAGCUAUGGCCACCGAAGACGUUUCUCUCGACCUUUCAACGCUUCUUUCUUCAGCAGAGAGGGACUUUCUCAUCCGCAACAAUGGUGAUCAGGUACUGCUUCUCUGAUCUUAUUCAAGUCUUCUUCCUGUCUUAUUAUAAGUUGACGUCUUUUAAUUUUUAUAUGAACUUGUAGGUUUUUCUCGUAAUUAAGAUGAAUAUCAUGUUUAAAUUAGACUGGUAGCCUUGCUUAAGAACAAAUUUAUGACCAAUUUCUGAAGCUUUUUAUGAUUAAGAAAAAGCUCCCUUUUUUUUGUUGCUUCUCUCACUGGCAAGAGAAAGAAACCAUGAAUAAAAUUUUGAUUCGUUAAGGGCAGAUGUUUUUUUCUGAUAAUGUUCGAGAUUAAUUUUUAGGUUAAGGUCAGCAAUUUGGUUGGGAAGAUUGUGGGGUUCUACUUCUCUGGUUCGUGGUGCGGCCCAUGCCGUAAUUUCACUCCUUUGUUGGUAGAAGUCUAUGAACAGCUAUCAUCCAAAGGGGACUUUGAGGUGGUCUUCAUUUCUUCUGACAGAGAUGAUGAAUCCUUCAACACAUAUUUCUCCGAAAUGCCAUGGCUUGCUAUUCCCUUCUCUGAUACGGAGACCCGCAAACGUCUUAAGGAAGUGUUCAAAGUAAGAGGGAUCCCUAAUCUUGUCAUAAUUGGCCAAGAUGGGAAGACUUUGAACCCAGAUGUAGUUGAACUCAUCGAAGACCAUGGAAUUGAAGCCUACCAUUUACACCGGAAAAGCUUGAUGAGCUAGCUGCAAUUGAAAAGGCAAAACUGGAAUCGCAGACGCUUGAGUCAGUUUUGGUUAAUGGGGAAAAUGAUUUGUGAUUGACAAAAGUGGAUCCAAGGUAAUUUUUUUUCUGCUAACAUCGCAUGUUGUUAUUGCAUUACUUUCAAUAACUUGCUUAUUAUCUCGAAUUGAAUUCAUUAGCAAAGGAUUUUUAUCAUUCAAAUGGUUUACUCUUGAUUAGGUCCAGUGUCUGAUCUAGUUGGAAAGAACAUUCUUCUUUACUUCAGCUCAAUGGUGCCCUCCAUGUCGUGCCUUUUUACCCAAGCUAAUUGAAGCAUACCACACAAUUAAAAGAAAAGACAAUGCAUUUGAGGUGAUCUUCAUCUCAAGUGACAGAGAUCAAUCCACCUUUGACGAGUUCUAUUCAGAAAUGCCUUGGUUAGCCCUUCCAUUUGGUGAUGGAAGGAAACAAAUCCUGAGUCGGAAAUUCAAAAUUCAAGGCAUUCCUGCAGCUGUAGCGAUUGGCCCAAGUGCCGGACCAUUACCAAGGAAGCUCGGAUGCACCUGACAGCUUACGGGGCAGAUGCUUUUCCAUUUACCGAGGAACAUCUAAAGCAAUUGGAGGAGGAGCUUGAGGAAAAGGCAAAGGGGUGGCCAGAGAAAGUGAAACACGAACUUCAUUCUGAGCAUGAGCUGUUACGUACUAAACGCAAAACAUAUAUUUGCGAUGGCUGUGGGGAAACAGGAAAUAGUUGGUCUUUCCAUUGCAAAGAAUGUGACUUUGAUUUCACCCCAAGUGUGCUUUGAAGGAAGAUGAAGAUACUGGAAGUGAAAAGGGAAAUGAAGGAUGGAACUGCGAUGGAGAUGUGUGCCGCCGAGCCUAAGCAGGCAAGCGCUCCUUGUAUCUGGUUUUAUGGGCUUUCUGCUGUAAUAAGCGUGCGAUGUAAGGUGUUUGUUGCAUGUGUGUGAAGAUGUGGAUGUCUUUCCUGUUAUUGAUAUGUAAUUAAGAGGUGUGUUGCUUAAGGAUUUUCAUGUCCUGUAUCUCGAUACGAAGAAUAAAUAACCUGAUUGGCUAAGUUUAUGUGAAUCCUGUGACCCUUUUGAAACUUGGGAAUCCAUGGUUGCUGGUUGUUCUCAAAUCUCCAUCACUAGUUAUGAGGUUUCGUCAUUCCUAAAUGAAAAUGUUAUGCAUGAUGCCAUUGUGCCGCUCUCUGUGUUUCUAUUUGGCUGAUGAAGAAACAACUUUACCUCUGGAGCAAAUAUUUCGAUACCAAACUGGUUUUGUUUAAACUCUCAACCCAAUUCAAUUAUGAAAGGUUUUUUUUUUUUUGUCUGAGAAUCCCUAAUUUGCUUCCUCUCUCCUGUAGCCACAACCACCCUCUCUUUUCUCUGAAAGAUAUCGAAACUUAGCGGUGAUCUCUUCGCUCUCAAAAUUUCUCGCAACUUUCUCACCUCCCUCUUUGUUGUUGGUCUCUUUUUUAUUUUUGUCUCCUCUCCAUCUCUAGUGUAAUGUAGCCUCUCUUCUCUCUAUUUCUUUCUAUUUUUCUUAGCUUUAUUUAUUGUUAUAGAAUAAUAAAUUAUAACAUGUUUAUUUGUUAUUUGGCAAGGAUUCAAUGUUCACAAUAACUCAGAUGUUUGACAAAGCCGAUUUAUAUUAUUUAGCAGAUUUGAUAAGAUUUAUUGUCUCCUAUAUGUAUUAUUAACUGUGACCUAAUAAUUUACAUGUUAUGUUUCAAAGACACAGAAGUUUGAGGUGUUGGUUCUUAUUUCGUUGCAUGUCAAGCUCAAUAUAUUUCUCCUAACAUGUUUAUUUGUUACUUGGCAUGGAUCAUUUUUUAUGGCUUAUAUUGUCUUUUUUAUGUAGAUGUGAACAAGUUAUUUCAAAGGAAAAAACUAUAUUGACUCCUUAAUUGUGAAAUUGGAAAUUAGGGAGAUAAUUGUUGUGAUAAUUCAUGGGCGAUCAUGUAAGCAAAUGUUAUAGGAAGCUUGCUGAUUUGGAUUUGUAAUAAUACAUGCAUCGAAGUGCUAGAAAGGCCACAUAAUCUUUGCCCUUUCCUAGGCUUCAUGUGCAAGAUCCCGUGUAUAUAAGUUAAUUGUAAGUUCAUUUAAACUAGGCUUUACAAAUGGUGAUUCAUUUGUAUUAAGAAAAAAUGAAAUAAAAAUUCAAUUUCAUAUAUAAUCCAUCACCUAUUUAAUAGUGUGAUGUAAGAGUAAGAGUUCAUCUUGUUUAUGAUCCAUCACCUAUCAAUAGUGAUGUAAGAGUUCCAACUUGUUUUCUACAGCUGUGCCAAAACCUAGGGGGGUCUACGCCAGCCCAGCAGAGUCCUUCCCCCGUCGUAGGUGGUCCAUACGACCAGAGAUAGUAAGUGAUUUCAGAACAUGCCUUUUCGAAAUGUGAUCAAAAUAAAAUUUUGGAUUAAAAUAUAAAAUUUUCAAAGUAAAAUGGUGUGAAAUCAACAUUUCUCAAAUAAAAAAAAACCUUAAAUUAUUGCUAACAAUCAAUUUUGCCCCCUAAAUCUUAAAUUUUUUGUACGCAAUAAAAUACGAUUUAUUUUGUAAAAUCCAAAUAUCACCCUAAUGUAAAAACAUUUAAUUUUUCCCUCACAUAGAAGAUUAUAAAAAAACCAACCAAUAAGUCCAAAUUCUUGAUUAAUAAAAAUGUCAAAAGAUGAAUUUAAAAAAAUUAAUUAUAUUAUAAUGAAAAACAUUCAAAGAAUAGGACUAGAACAUUGUUCCAAUCCAUGAUAUUUUGAAUUUUUUGUCCAUGGUGCAACAAAACUAAACUAACCACAUCUUUUAGUUUUUUAUUUAAUUUAAUUUUAUAGUUUUAUGAUUCAUGAAGGAGGAAUUAAUUUAUUUUUUAGAUUAGGUUUUAUUUUUAUAAAAUUAAUUAAAAAAUAAAUUAGAUAGGAUAUCUAGUUGAUACCCACGAAUAAAGAAAGUCAUAUACUUAACCUGACUUGAUUAAAAAAAUUAACGAAUUUGAACAUUCGAGAGUGGAAAUUCAUUAUCUUCCUUUACUUACAAUUAUGACAAAUUGAAAUACGUCUAGAGUGUUUGAUAAAGGAUGAUGACAUAUAUGUAUAGUGCACUUUUGAGUGUGGGAAAGUCCCGUCUCAUGACAGAGUAUUGCAUUUAAAAUCUCUUUCUUUCUUCCUUGGAAAUAUAGCAGGGGUGAUUAAAAAAAAAUUGAAAAACUAAUUAAAUUAAAAAAAUAAUUUUUUUUGAAAAAACUGAACCGAGAAAAAAUAAAUUAAUUAAUUAAAAUAUUUUUAAAAAUAUCUGGUUUGAUUUUGAUUUUUUAAGUCUAAAACCGAAAAAAUAAACUGAAAUUAAUAAAAAAACCAAACUGAAAAAACUUAAACCAAACCUAUUAAAAAUUACAAAAAAAAACCCCUAAAAAUAAUAUAGUUUUUGGUUUUUAAUAUAGAUGUUUUGAUUUUACCAAAACCAAAACCGAACGAACCAAAUCCGAUCGGAUGGGUUUUGAUUUUUAAAAAAAAAAAAAUACAGUUUGGUUAUUUUUAUAGGUAAAAACCUAACCGAACUAAAAAUAAUCACCCUUGAAAUAUACAAAAAAACAUUUUAUUGAAAUAAAGUGGCUAAAAUACACUAUAUAAUUUUAUUUAUAAUUAUUAAAUAUAUGUAACAUCAUUAUUUUUAAAAUUAAAAGGAGUUGAGAGUUUUACUAUUAAAAAACUUUAUCUUGAUAGAAGGAUAAUAAGGUCUUUAGAAAGUUUGUAUCGUAGCAUACUUAUUAAAUUAUAUGUGAUUACCAUCAUGUCAAAGUAACAUAAAGAUUUUAUUAAAGAGAUAAAAAUACAAAAUAUAUUUAAUAACAAACUCACAAAAACAAAAUAUCAAACCAUGGAUAAAACUAGAAUAAAAACAUAAAAAAAGGAGAUUAAAAAAACAUUAGAAUAUUUUAAACUGAUUAGAAUAUUUUAAAAAAUAUCCAGUUUGAUUUUGAUUUUUUAAGCUUGAAACUAAAAAAUCAAACCCAAAUUAAUAAAAAAAAUAAACCAAAAAAACCGAAACAAAACUCAUUAAAAAUUACAAAAAAAACCCUAAAAACAAUAUAGUUUUUUGUUUUUAAUAUAAAAUAAUCAAACCAAAACCGAAUCAAAUCAAACCCGAAUGGUUGGAUUUUGGUUUUUUUUUUUUGUAUUUUUCAAAAUUUCAAUUUGGUUAUUUUUAUAGGUAAAAACCAAACCAAACUAAAAAUGAUUACUCUAGAAUAUAAAUUUUUUUUUGUAUUGAAAUAGAGUGGCUAAAAUACACUAUAUAAUUUUAUUUUUAAAUAUUAAAUAUAUGUAACAUCAUUAUUUUUAAAAUUAAAAGGAGUUGAGAGUUUUACUAUUAAAAAACUUUAUCUUGAUAGAAGGAUAAUUAAUAAGGUCUCUAAUAAGUUUGGAUCUUAGCCUACUUAUUAAAUUACAUGUGAUUACCAUCGUGUCAAAGUGAAAUAAAGAUUUUAUUAAAGAGAUAAAAAUACAAAAUAUAUUUAAUAACAAAAUCACAAAAAAAUUAUCAAACCAUGGAUAAAACUAGAAUAAAAAUAAAAAUAAAAAGAGAUUAAAAUAAACACCUCUCUGCGCAAGAAAUGAUAUAUUCUGUUAAAGACAAUCCUUCCCGUAGAUUGCUUUGAAUGGGUAAAUCAAUCAUUUGUCUUUGUGGAUCCGACAUUAAUCCUCUUAUACCUACUAAUUGGUGUACUUGAGAUGUAUUUCCCUAGCUCCCGAAAAGGACAUUAUAUGGACUUGAUUAUAGGGUUUUGUCAUUCUAAAAUUCAGAUUCAUUUCUUGUCGCAAAUAUUCACUUGUAGCAUACUAUAUCUUAAUAAAUUGACGUAAUUUUUCUAUCGCGUAUACAUUUUUAUAAUGAUGGUGUUUUUUCAAAAUCAAACUUUGUUGUUCAGCAUCUUGGACUAGCCAUCCUUUUGAAGAUAUUGUUAAAAGAUCAUCAAUUCCUAAUGAAAUAGAUGUAGCAGUGGUAUGUGAAUCCUGUGACCCAUUUGAAACUUGGGAAUCCAUGGUUGAUGGUUGUUAUGAGGUUUUUGUCAUUCCUAAACGAAAACGCUAUGCAUGAUUGCAUUGUGCCGCUCUCUUUGUUUCUAUUUGGCUGGAUGAAGAAACAGCUUCACCUCUGGAACAAAUAUUCCUGUAAUUGUAAUGCUGAUUAAAUACAAAAACUGGGCUGAUUGUGACUUAACCAACAUUAUACAAUGAAACCAUUGUAACUCCACCGUUAAAGAAACAAGAAUUUCCAGUCCAAGCAACUGGAUAGUCAUUUUUACCCCUCUCUGCCUUCUCACAUUACUUGUUGAGACGGAUUUCAGAAUCAAGAAAGCAGCAUUAAUUCGAACUCAGAAGUAAGAAAGACAAAUGAAAUCCCAGCAGGUGGAAACCUGCGUUUGUUGAUGAACAUGUCUGCAAUCAAUUAAACCAGAAACACGAGCAGGCUAUUGCUUGUAUCAGUUCAUGGGACGCAAAGGACGGAUAGGAUUAGUGGUGAGCUUGGAGAAGUUAGCAAAGCCAACAACUACACCUCGCAGAACAGGAAAAGAUUUCCGUAAAUUUAAUGCUUUUCUAUUUGCUUAAUUCUCGUGACACCAUAUUAUUUGAUGCCUCAAAAGAACGAAAAUAUCAUCCGUGUGAUACAUCCAAAAUUCAAGCAAGCACACUGCCAAGAAAUUCAAUUCGGCGACGUUUCAAUCAAGCACGCUGCCAUAAAGUUUGAAGCCAUUGAAAAAACCUUUGGUUCUAUGGUCCAUUAAUUAUGUUCAGCUUAUUUACUCUUUCAUGUUCUCGCAGUUUCUUCUUUUUGCCACGUUCCAUGGCUUCCCACCACUGAAUCUCAUGUGCUUUAAAUUUGCCUUCGCCAUGACAGCCACAAAACCUUAUCGAUUGUUGCAGUCUGAAAACUGUUUGUUAUUGUGGUUACUGUUGUGGUUUUAAGAAAAUUAUUUUGUAAAAAUAUUUUUAGUUGAGGUUGGUUUAGAAAAAUAUAUAUUUGAUUAAAAAUAUGGUUAAAAUUGAGGUUGAACAAAAAGUAGUUUAAUGUGUUUGGUUAAAAAAAUGUUUUUCAAAUUGAGGUUAUAAAAUAAUUAAAAAAUAUUUUUAAUUUAAAUAUUGUAGAUUUAACUACUAUUACUACAUCAUGAAAUAAAUAAUAUUUAUAUCAAAUAUUUUUUAUUAUUCCAUUAAACUAUAUGCAAUGUCAUCACAUACAAAUCUAUCCAACAAUGACUAUAUUUUUCAUGGUUUCUUAAGCACGCAACAACAAAAAUUGGAUUUUUUGUAAUGUCAUCAAGCGAUAUCCUUCUAAUUUUUUCAAUAAAACACAAUUAAAAUAAAAAUAAAAACUGAAUUUUUUUAACUGGGUCAGACCCGGCAGGAACAUAAUUGGAAUUGCGAUUAAAUUUCACAAAUGUUAUGUCAUCAUGCGAUAUUCUUCUAAUUUAUAUAGUGUUAUUAAAUAAUAUUAAAUACUAGUUUUUCGAGUAAAACUAAAUUUUUUAAAAAAAAAAAUUACAAUUUCAUUACGUACAAAAUUCAUUCGACAAGAACUACAGUUUAAUGAUUUUGUGAGCGUGCAAUAAAAUUAGAUAAAAUAUUAUCGGGAAUAAAAUUAAGAUUACAGUAUGAGUAAAUUUAAUUCACCUUUAACUAUUUUUUUAACAAAAAAAAAUAUAUUGUUCAUCUGAAUAGUGCGAGUGAAAUUAAUUAAUUGCACUGGUUUUUCAGGGAAAAAAAAACCCAAACAUUGCAUGUGAACAGUGCAAGUGAAUUAAUUCACUCACACUGGUUUUUUGAAAUUAAAAAAAAAAUUGUUCAUUUUAGUGAACAGUGGAGCCAUGCUCCAUUGUUGAUGUUAAUUUUCAGACGAGCAGCAGCUUCUCAGAAACCUAUUCAGAUGAACAAUAUAUUUUAAAAAAAAUGGAGCAGGUGAAUUAUUUUAAUCUGCUUUUUAAUCUGCUACAGUGCAUGCAAAGCAGGUUUUCAUAGCUUUUCCUUUCCAGUGUUUUAAACGCAAAAAACACGUGGGUCCCAUGCACAGUAAAAUAAUUUUUGUUAUUACCAAACGGCUGCGGACUGCGUUUUAAAUAAAACGCAUCCGCAGCCUCUUAGACAAACACCCUUUAAGUGGGUCCUACAAAAAAAACUAUUUUUUCUUACCUUACCAAACAUUAAUAGUUGUGGUUGCGGGUGAACCUCACCCGUGGCCACAAUACCAAACAUCCACUUACUAUCUCUGGCCAUCUCGUGUAUGGACCCCUCUACGAUGAAGGAAGGGCACUGUUGGGCUCUUCCCUUACAACGGGGGAAGUCGGAAGGACACUGUUGGGCUAGUAUAAACCCUCCAGGUUUUGGCAUAGCUGCAGAAAAAAAUAAUUUAAAAAAAAUAAAAAAAAAAUAUAUUAUUUUAAUAUAUUUUAGUAUGAAAAGCAUUUUGAAAAAUAAUUGUAAUCAUAUUCCCAAACAAAUAUAAAAUUAAAGGAAAAACAAAUAUAAAACUAAAAGAAGAACUAAGUUAUAGUAAAUGGAAAUGAUGACAUGGAGGUAAAAUAUGGCUUCUUUUAAAUAAAGGGAGUGAGCUAUUGAUUUCUUAAAAAUAUAGGGACUACGUUAUAAUUUGAUCAAUUUGUUAUGAUGAAUUUAAAGUGUAACACGUGAUUUCUUUUUUUUUUUUUUUUUUUAUAACUCGAGAUGUCUGGGCUAGUUUAUGCGCAUCACGACUAAUCCCCGGACUCACCGAACAUCCUGCAAGCCCUGUAAGUAGGUAAGGUACCGCGGGGUGACAAGCGUGCACAAGCAAGACUUGAACCCUGGUAUAAAGGAAGAACACAAGGCCCUUCCACUGCUGGGCUACAAGCUCAAGCGUGUAACACAUGAUUUCUAAAUGGUGGUGUUGGUGUUGUGUUUGCCUAUUAAUGAUCAUGAUCAUGAUGUUUCAUGAUGUGACAAAUAUAUUAAAAAUAUGAUGAUUUUGUUUAUAGUUAAAGCCGUGAAAUAUUAUUUGUUUAAAAUUUAUUUUUUUUUAAUGUUUUUAAUUUUUAUUUAAUGUAUUGAUGUUAAAAAUAUUUUUUUAAAAAUUAAUAUAUAUAUAUAUAUAUUAAUAUAUUUUUAUAUAAAACAUAUUUUAAAACUUAACCUCUUUUAUAUUUUUAAACAUACCCUUAGUCAAUUGUCAUUUAGUAGUUGAAUCUUACCCUUAAUGUUUUCCAUGGAAUCUAUUAUUAUUGUCUUUGACAGCGUAUGUGCAAUGAUAAGGAAUAUCACGAUAGGUUGUCAAAAAAACUCUUACUAAUAUUAUGUUAUGUGUAAUUUUAUCUGAAAAUAAAAUAAAAAUUGAAUGAUGCCUAAUAAAAUAAUAUUAUAUAUAUAUAUAUAUAUUCUUAAUAAUUUAAUUAUCUACUAAAAUAACAUCCUUAUGUGUUUUUAAAUAAUUAAUUUUAAUGAAAUAAAAUUAAAACUUGAGGAUAAAAAUUCAAAAAAUAAAUAAAAUAAAAGCUAAACAUAAGCCAUGUUUGUGGGGUCAAGUGACUCAGCAUACUUAUCCAAAACAUGAAAGAGCCAUUUCAUUUUUUCUUUGAUGAAUGACACAUUGGACUUUUAUUAUUUUAUUUUUAAAAUAAAACAGAUUUGCUUACUCAAUUAUUUUUUGUUAUGGAGAAGUGGAAGAGUUAGGUUAGUGUUUUUUUUUUUUUAUCUAAAAUUCUAUUUUUUUAAUAUAUUUUUAUCUAAAAACACCUCAUAAAUACUUUUAAAUUAUCUCUAAACUAAUCCAUCAACUAAAAAGAAACUCUAAAAUAAUUUUAAAAUAUAAAGUUUAACUUAAAAGCAAUUCUCUCAACCUCUAUUUAUCUUUUUUUGGCAAUAUAAAGCUCAAAAACAUUAUGGUAACACUCUUUUUGUAAAGAAAAAUAUAUUGACACACAUAUGAGCUAUUUUCAUAAACAAAAACUUAUUAAUGUAUGUAUUUCUCUCUCCUUUACUAUUUUCAAUGAAUUUUUAUUAUUAUUUUAAAAAUUUCCAGAUUGAAAUGUUAUUAAAAUAGAGUUUUGGAUCAAAACAUAAAUAUUUUGAAAUAAAAUGGUGUGAAAUGAACAUUUCUCAAAUAAAAAAACUUUAAAUUCUUGCUAUAUGUCAAUUUUGACUCUCCAAGUCCUAAAUUUUUAUAUGCAAUAAAAUAGGAUUCUAUUUUGUAAAAUCAAACAUAAGUAUAAUGUAGAGACAUUUAAUUUUCCAAAAAAAAUAAAAAUAAGGAGCCUUAGCCUCGAAGUUCAUCGGACCUACGUCAUAAUGUCUUCGUCAUUACCCGACACCAGCCACGCCUUCAAGUCGUCGUUGACUGAUCAGAAUAAUAAUUUCCUAGGUCGGUCGUGCAGGUAAUUUAAAGGAGCCUUAGCCUGGAAGUUCCAUCACAUAGCAACUGGGAUUGGCAAUUGUUCUAGCCUUUUGAGUAGUUCAUCACAUAGCUAGCUAUGGCCACCGAAGACGUUUCUCUCGACCUUUCAACGCUUCUUUCUUCAGAAGAGAGGGACUUUCUCAUCCGCAACAAUGGUGAUCAGGUACUGCUUCUCUGAUCUUAUUCAAGUCUUCUUCUUGUCUUAUUAUAAGUUGAUGCCUUUUAAUUUUUAUAUGAACUUGUAGGUUUUUCUCGUAAUUAAGACGAAUAUCAUGUUUAAAUUAGACUGCAAGCCUUGCUGAAGAACAAAUUUAUGACCAAUUUCUGAAGCUUUUUAAUGAUUAAGAAAAAGCUCCUUUUUUUGUGUUGCUUUUCUCACUGGCAAGAGAAAGAAACCAUGAAUAAAAUUGUGAUUCGUUAAGGGCUGAUUUUUUUCUGAUAAUGUUCGACAUUAAUUUUUAGGUUAAGGUCACAAUUUGGUUGGGAAGAUUGUGGGUUCUACUUCUCUGGUUCGUGGGCGCCCAUGCCGUAAUUUCACUCCUUUGUUGGUAGAAGUCUAUGAACAGCUAUAUCCAAAGGGACUUUGAGGUCUUCAUUUCUUCUGACAGAGAUGAUGAAUCCUUCAACACAUAUUUCUCCGAAAUGCCUGGCUUGCUAUUCCCUUCUCUGAUACGGAGGCCCGCAAACGUCUUAAGGAAGUGUUCAAAGUAGAGGGAUCCCUAUCUUGUCAUUUUUGAUUGCGAAUGGCAAGGUUCCUGCGAUGAUGGAUCAGCACUGUCAAGGAACAUGGCGUGGAUGGGUAUCCGUUCAACCUUGAUAGACUGAAUUUCCUGAAAGAGCAAGAAGAGAACGCUAAGAAGAAUCAAACAUAAGCUCUAUCUUGGUUUCAAGCUCACGUGAUUAUGUGAUUUCAAAUGAUGGAAAAAAGGUUAGAUGGUUCAUUCAAUUAGCUAGUUUUGAAAUUGAAUUGAUGAUGCCAUCAUUCACUUUUUGCCUUUUUGGCUAUCUGUAAUGGCAGAUCCCUGUGUUGGACCUUGAAGGAAAAUUGGUUGGCUUGUAUUUCUCAAUCCAUGCUCAUAGGAUGUGCCGUGAAUUCACUCCUAAACUAGUGAAUUACAAGCGCUCAAGGAAAAAGAGAGAACUUUGAAGUAGUCCUAAUAUCUCUAGACGAGGAAAAACACUUCAAAGAGAGUUUUGAGACAAUGCCUUGGUUGGCAUUGCCGUUUAAGGACAAGAGCUGCGAGAAGCUAGCGCGGUAUUUUGAACUUAGAACCAUUCCUAAUCUUGUCAUAAUUGGCCAAGAUGGGAAGACUUUGAACCCAAAUGUAGUUGAACUCAUCGAAGACCAUGGAAUUGAAGCCUACCCAUUUACACCGGAAAAGCUUGAGAGCUAGCUGCAAUUGAAAAGGCAAAACUGGAAUCGCAGACGCUUGAGUCAGUUUUGGUUAAUGGGGAAAAUGAUUUUGUGAUUGACAAAAGUGGAUCCAAGGUAAUUUUUUUGUUCUUGCUAACUCGCAUGUUGUUAUUCAUUACUUUCAAUAACUUGCUUAUUAUCUCGAAUUGAAUUCAUUAGCAAAGGUAUUUUUAUCAUUCAAAUGGUUUGCUCUUGAUUAGGUCCCAGUGUCUGAUCUAGUUGGAAAGAACAUUCUUCUUUACUUCUCAGCUCAAUGGUGCCCUCCAUGUCGUGCCUUUUUACCCAAGCUAAUUGAAGCAUACCACACAAUUAAAGAAAAGCAAUGCAUUUGAGGUGAUCUUCAUCUCAAGUGACAGCGAUCAAUCCACCUUUGACGAGUUCUAUUCAGAAAUGCCUUGGUUAGCCCUUCCAUUUGGUGAUGAAGGAAACAAAUCCUGAGUCGGAAAUUCAAAAUUCAAGGCAUUCCUGCAGCUGUAGCGAUUGGCCAAGUGGCCGGACCAUUACCAAGGAAGCUCGGAUGCACCUGACAGCUUACGGGGCAGAUGCUUUUCCAUUUACCGAGGAACAUCUAAAGCAAUUGGAGGAGGAGAUUGAGGAAAAGGCAAAGGGGUGGCCAGAGAAAGUGAAACACGAACUUCAUACUGAGCAUGAGCUGAUACGUACUAAACGCA